rnacentral:lncRNA from 1 species
GGUCCUGAGAAUUUUUGGAUGAUAUAAAUAAAAAAAAAUAACUUGCUUUCCUGAAUAAAACAUGUGAGGUCUGCUGAUUAUAAAACGAGGUCAGUUUUAUCACUUCUUGAGGUUUGGGGUAAUUAUAAAUAAGGUUUAGCAAUAUCUGUAAAGAACCUGAGUUCAAUGUUUAUAUCUGUUUUAAAUGAGGUAUACAUGUGAAGACACUUAAUGUGGACAAAAUCAAACCAUUUGUCAUAAAAACAAAAAUUCAGUUAUUUUUUCAAAACUGUC